rnacentral:snRNA from 10 species
UAAAAGGGCUUCCGUCGUGACUGGCGCAUGUAUUGGGCUUUAACUAGUUCGGUAUGUGUGGAAUCGCAAUCAAUAGAUUCCGGAAGCACAAUUUUUACAACAUAGUGGAUGUUGGUUGCCGCUUGCACCGACGCCCGU